GACGAACGCUGGCGGCGUGCUUAACACAUGCAAGUCGAACGAUGAAGCCGGAGCUUGCUCCGGUGGAUUAGUGGCGAACGGGUGAGUAACACGUGAGCAAUCUGCCCUUGACUCUGGGAUAACUGCGGGAAACUGUAGCUAAUACCGGAUACGACACCUUGGGGCAUCCCAGGGUGUGGAAAGAAUUUCGGUCAAGGAUGGGGUCGCGGCCUAUCAGCUAGUUGGUGAGGUAAUGGCUCACCAAGGCGACGAAGGGUAGCCGGCCUGAGAGGGUGACAGGCCACACUGGAACAGAGACUCGGUCCAGACUCAUACGGGAGGCAGCAGUGGGGAAUAUUGCACAAUGGGCGAAAGCCUGAUGCAGCAACGCCGCGUGAGGGAGGAAGGCCUUCGGGUUGUAUACCUCUUUAAGCAGGGAAGAAGCGAUAGUGACGGUACCUGCAGAAAAAGCACCGGCUAACUACGUGCCAGCCGCCGCGGUAA
rnacentral:rRNA from 1 species